rnacentral:rRNA from 1 species
GAUCAUGGCUCAGGAUGAACGCUAGCGACAGGCUUAACACAUGCAAGUCGAGGGGCAGCAUGGUUUGUAGCAAUACAGAUUGAUGGCAACCGGCGCACGGGUGAGUAACGCGUAUGCAACUUACCUAUCAGAGGGGGAUAGCCCGGCGAAAGUCGGAUUAAUACCCCAUAAAACAGAGGUCCCGCAUGGGAAUAUUUGUUAAAGAUUCAUCGCUGAUAGAUAGGCAUGCG